AGAGUUUGAUUAUGGCUCAGGAUGAACGCUGGCGGCGUGCUUAACACAUGCAAGUCGAACGGAGUUUAGAGAGCUUGCUCUUUAAACUUAGUGGCGGACGGGUGAGUAACGCGUGGGUAACCUGCCUUUCACUGGGGGAUAACAGUUAGAAAUGACUGCUAAUACCGCAUAAGCGCACAGGUUCGCAUGAACUAGUGUGAAAAACUCCGGUGGUGAAAGAUGGACCCGCGUCUGAUUAGCUAGUUGGUGAGGUAACGGCCCACCAAGGCGACGAUCAGUAGCCGGCCUGAGAGGGUGAACGGCCACAUUGGGACUGAGACACGGCCCAAACUCCUACGGGAGGCAGCAGUGGGGAAUAUUGCACAAUGGGGGAAACCCUGAUGCAGCGACGCCGCGUGAGUGAAGAAGUAUUUCGGUAUGUAAAGCUCUAUCAGCAGGGAAGAAAAUGACGGUACCUGACUAAGAAGCCCCGGCUAACUACGUGCCAGCCGCGGC
rnacentral:rRNA from 1 species